UGGAUAUUGAUUACUUCCCUUAAAAGUACAUACUAUAUUUUUCCUCUAUUGUUAACCAAAAAAAAAUAUUGAAAGUUACAAAGACCUUAGACUAUGUAUAGACUGACCACUAUUGAACAGAGCAUUCUAGAAACAAAAGGUCCUUCAGGUUUUGGAUCUAACAAAAGGUCCUUCAGGUUUUGGAUCUAUCUGUGAAAGGUCCCGAUCAACAAGAAUAAAAUGUGAUUGCCGGGCCUGGAAAUGUGUACCUGAAAUCAUUUACACAUCCAACAAAGUCCAGGUUUCCAGCUAGACCCUUCCAAAAGGAGAAAGUGGCGGACAAG
rnacentral:lncRNA from 1 species